GGGUCAAAAUUCUAAUAAGAAAUGUAAUGUAUCUUUAUAGUAAAAAUUCACCUAAUGACAUCAUAUCUGGAAACUUUGACAGUGAAAAGGUUGAUGAAGAAGGGGAUUUUUUAUUAUAGAGAUAACAUUUCUUCGAACGAAUGAUACAGAUAUUGCACAUACCAAAAAUCAUAUUUGUGGUUAGUCGUGCUUUAAAAUAAUAUUU